GACGAACGCUGGCGGCGUGCUUAACACAUGCAAGUCGUACGGUAAGGCCCUUUCGGGGGUACACGAGUGGCGAACGGGUGAGUAACACUUGAGUAACCUGCCCACAACUUUGGGAUAACGCUAGGAAACUGGUGCUAAUACUAGAUAUGUGCUCCUUCUGCAUGGUGGGGGUUGGAAAGCUCCGGCGGUUGUGGAUGGACUCGCGGCCUAUCAGCUUGUUGGUGGGGUAGUGGCCUACCAAGGCGGCGACGGGUAGCCGGCCUGAGAGGGUGACCGGCCACAUUGGGACUGAGAUACGGCCCAGACUCCUACGGGAGGCAGCAGUGGGGAAUAUUGCACAAUGGGCGCAAGCCGGAUGCAGCAACGCCGCGUGCGGGAUGACGGCCUUCGGGUUGUAAACCGCUUUCAGCAGGGACGAAGCUUUUUGUGACGGUACCUGCAGAAGAAGCACCGGCUAACUACGUG
rnacentral:rRNA from 1 species